GGUUAUACCAAGUGAUUAAGUUAUAUCUUUAGGUAAAAAGACAGUUAAGCUUAUAAAAAUUUUAGUUUAUUAACCGCCUAUAAAAAAGUAAAAUUUGUAUAUAGGUAGCUAAUCUAGAAAUAACUAUAUUUUAGCGCUGAAGCUGUGAUAGUCUUGAGGGAAACUGGGAUUAGAUACCCCAUUAUUCUUGACUGUAAAUAUAAUUAAAUUUACCAGAGUACUAUGAAUAGUUAAAAAUUUAAAACUCAAAGGGCUUGGCGGUGUUUUAGACCAAUCAGGGGAACCUGUCUCGUAAUCGACAAUCCACGUUGUAUCUAACCUCAUUUUGUAUUCAGUUUGUAUACCGUCGUCGUCAGGUAACUUUUAAAAAUAUAGAAGUUAGCAAUAAAAAUUACGUAAGUUAAGACGUCAGAUCAAGGUGCAGCCCAUAGUGAGGAGAGGAUGGGUUACAAUUAUUAGAUUUAUAAUCACGGAAAUUUAGAUGAAAGCCUAUUUAGAAGGAGGACUUGAAAGUAAACUAAAAUAUAUAAAUAGUUUGAAUAAGGCUCUG
rnacentral:rRNA from 1 species